AAAAAAAAAAAGUAGAUUUCUUUAAGGCCUGUGAAAGUGGUCAGUGCAGUGCUAAGAAAAGUUGUUGAAAUUCCGGACCGUUUCGUGUCUGGUAGGCGGCAUCGUUCCGUCUCAGUGUUCGCUGGUGGAAUCGCGAUUGGUGACGCGGACACAGGAAGCACGCACGUGCAAGUUCUCGGAAUACGGCACAACGCCGCCGCAGGAAGAAGAGGCAACGCGCGCGAGUUUUAUUCGUCCACAGCGCAACAGGAAUCACGGAAGAGCGGGUCAAUUAUUGUUACUCCGAAGCUGACGAAGAUCGAGCGCCUGGUGGUGUGACUGGUGAGAGGACAGGCUAAAACGCUCAUCAAAUUGAGCGGAAAUACCCCACUGGGGUUUUUUUUCGUGGAGCCAAUUUCCAUCAUCGAGGUCCGGGAGGAUCGUGAUCGAGGCAGCGGUGCGACAAGGCGACGGGCGGAUUGCCGAUACAUCGAGUGUGCUUCACUCGGCCGGCAGGACCAAGUCGGAGGAGAUUCGUUCGGGAACCAGCAGCCCUUCGGUGGAUCACUCGGAGGGACCCCAUCCAGUUACUUGGUCGCACUGGACGGCCAGAGGGGUCUCCAGCAGAGUGAUUAGGAUGCAUGCGUGGGACGGCAGUGAAAUGCGACAGGCGAACAGUCGCGGCAGCGAAAGCUCCGCCGAGGAAAUAGUGUAGGGGGACGCCCCGAACACAAGAAGGUACCGUGAGUACGGAGAAGAAACCGUGAGUAAGAAAACUGAGGUGUUUUGUAAAGUAGGAAGAUAGAGAAAGAGGAGUGAAAAGGAAAGAAGAUAAGAUGAGUAGGAGGUAGGAAGUAACAGAGGAAAAUGGGUGCAUUACCCUAAAUACAUGUAUU